GGAGCGUGGGGACCUGGCUGGCCAUCCCGAAGAUGCUGUGAUACGGGGAGAAAAGUCGGCACGCACAUCAUCUAGCACCAAGGAGGGUCAGAGAAGCAAGACAAGGUCUCAAAGGAAACACAGGAUGGCUGGCUCAGAUGGUAAGCAUGAGUGGAAAGGGCCCGACCCACAGCCCUCAGCUCUGGCCUUUCCACGCUGCCUUGAACAAGCGGCCUUGCCCAUGGCCUUGGCCUGCUAACUCCUACUCACCCUGCAGGCUUAACAGAACCAUGUCUUCCAUGGGCCUUCCUGACCCCAGUGUUUGAUCCUGGUUUUCCUCUCCUAGCACCUUGUUCUUUUCCUUCCUAGCACUUGACAUAUUUAUAGUGAUGUAUUUUUGUUUAUUUCUGUAUCAACUGGGUCCCCGCUAGACCAAUUCCACUGCCAAGAAUUUCCUUACAGAUAUAACUUUCCAAUGUGCCGAAGCAGGGUUAUUAACUGCAGCGCUGUUUAACAGCAAAAGACUGGAACAUCCUAAAUAUUCAACAACAGGGAACUGAGUAGAAGCCGAGUGCCCAGGGCCUGCCUGCGAGGUUCCGGGGAUGGGCUGCUUCUUGAGAGCCAGCACUCAGGCGACAGCGCUCUCCUCAGCCCCUCUCCCUCCCCAACCCCUGGGCUUUCCUGAGGGACAGUGCUAGGCUGUAGCCACUGCGAGCCCUGGUCUUCAGUCCUCUCCCACCCACAGGCUGUGAGGAAGGCUGGGAAGCCACCAGGGCAGUGGUGGAUCUUCGGCUUCUCAGACCCCAGGCCUUUGCUUUGCCCGACGGACUCGAGAACAACACGACGCAGAGUUGGCAGGCUUCUGCUCUAAGAGGGAUGCCUGAGGACUUCUGGAGACCACCUAGGACGCUGACCCAGCCCUUGCCCUGGGGGCCCUCUCGGGGAAAGGUCAUGUCCCUUCUCAUGUUUUCUAGGACUCAGGUCUCCAUUACUUCCCAGUCAGCGACCUCCUAGUGCACAGCCUGCACAAGUCCUGGUGCAGUUUUAGCCAUUUCCUUACAUGAAGAAAGAGAACAGAGCCCCUUCUUCCUGACAAGACCCUCAUCAGACUCCUCUCCUCCUUUCCUGGAGCUUCUCCUCUUUGUGCGGUACUUUGGGUGGGUGCGGAUGUGAAUGCAGGGUGACGUAUGGAUGUGGACAGUGGGCCACAGUUGCAAGCAAGGAAGCCAGAGGGGCGGA